CCCUCCCGGCUCCGGCCGGGGGUCGGGCGCCGGCGGCUUUGGUGACUCUAGAUAACCUCGGGCCGAUCGCACGCCCUCCGUGGCGGCGACGACCCAUUCGAACGUCUGCCCUAUCAACUUUCGAUGGUAGUCGCCGUGCCUACCAUGGUGACCACGGGUGACAGGGAAUCAGGGUUCGAUUCCGGAGAGGGAGCCUGAGAAACGGCUACCACAUCCAAGGAAGGCAGCAGGCGCGCAAUUACCCACUCCCGACCCGGGGAGGUAGUGACGAAAAAUAACAAUACAGGACUCUUUCGAGGCCCUGUAAUUGGAAUGAGUCCACUUUAAAUCCUUUAACGAGGAUCCAUUGGAGGGCAAGUCUGGUGCCAGCAGCCGCGGUAAUUCCAGCUCCAAUAGCGUAUAUUAAAGUUGCUGCAGCUAAAAAGCUCGUAGUUGGAUCUUGGGAGCGGGCGGGCGGUCCGCCGCGAGGCGAGUCACCGCCCGUCCCCGCCCCUUGCCUCUCGGCGCCCCCUCGAUGCUCUUAGCUGAGUGUCCCGCGGGGCCCGAAGCGUUUACUUUGAAAAAAUUAGAGUGUUCAAAGCAGGCCCGAGCCGCCUGGAUACCGCAGCUAGGAAUAAUGGAAUAGGACCGCGGUUCUAUUUUGUUGGUUUUUCGAACUGAGGCCAUGAUUAAGAGGGACGGCCGGGGGCAUUCGUAUUGGGCCGCUAGAGGUGAAAUUUUUGGACCGGCGCAAGACGGACCAGAGCGAAAGCAUUUGCCCAAAAUGUUUUUCAUUAAUCCAGGAACGAAAGUCUGGGUUUCCCCAUUUCAACUUGGCUUACAAGACGCCACAUCACCUAUCAUGGAAGAACUUCCAAACUUUCAUGACCACACCCUAAUAAUUGUUUUCCUCAUCAGCUCCCUAGUACUUUAUAUUAUUUCACUAAUACUAACAACAAAACUAACACACACAAGCACAAUAGACGCCCAAGAAGUAGAAACAAUUUGAACAAUUCUCCCAGCUGUCAUUCUUAUUCUAAUUGCCCUUCCCUCCCUACGAAUUCUAUACAUAAUAGACGAGAUUAAUAACCCAGUUCUAACAGUAAAGACUAUAGGACACCAAUGAUACUGAAGCUAUGAAUAUACUGACUAUGAAGACCUAUGCUUUGACUCCUACAUAAUCCCAACCAAUGACCUAAAACCAGGUGAACUUCGUCUAUUAGAAGUUGAUAAUCGGGUAGUCUUACCAAUAGAACUUCCAAUCCGUAUACUAAUCUCAUCCGAAGACGUCCUGCACUCAUGAGCCGUCCCUUCACUAGGGUUAAAAACCGACGCAAUCCCCGGCCGCCUAAACCAAGCUACAGUGACAUCAAACCGACCAGGUCUAUUCUAUGGCCAAUGCUCUGAAAUUUGCGGCUCAAAUCACA
rnacentral:rRNA from 1 species